GUGCUACUACCGGAUCCGGAAACAUUGAGCUUGCUUCUAGUCAGUCGGCCAGUUGCAACAAAAAAUGGCGGAGGUCGACUUGAAUAUCGACAGCCUCAUACAAAGAUUAUUGGAAGUAUACCACACCCAGAAUGACCAGGUUCAGAAGAAAGCCAAGCUUAAAGAUAUUUUCUCCUCAGAUUUUGUUGUUCGAGGAUGUCGUCCUGGAAAAUCAGUUGUUAUGUCAGAGGCUGAAGUUCGUGGUCUCUGUUUAAAAUCAAGAGAGAUAUUUCUUCAACAACCAAUACUUUUGGAAUUAGAGGCACCUUUGAAAAUUUGUGGCGAUAUUCACGGUCAAUAUACUGACCUUCUACGGCUUUUCGAAUACGGCGGAUUUCCACCAGAAGCCAACUAUCUUUUUCUUGGCGAUUACGUCGAUAGAGGAAAACAAUCAUUAGAAACAAUUUGUCUUCUACUUGCAUAUAAAAUAAAAUAUCCAGAAAAUUUUUUCCUCCUCCGUGGUAAUCAUGAAUGCGCCAGUAUAAAUAGGAUAUAUGGCUUUUAUGAUGAAUGCAAACGCAGGUAUAAUAUUAAAUUAUGGAAAACGUUCACCGACUGUUUUAAUUGUCUACCAAUAGCAGCCAUCAUUGAUGAGAAAAUAUUCUGCUGCCAUGGGGGACUCAGCCCUGACCUACAGGGAAUGGAACAAAUCAGGAGAAUUAUGCGGCCGACUGAUGUUCCUGAUACGGGAUUGUUAUGCGAUCUACUCUGGUCCGAUCCGGAUAAAGAUGUUCAGGGAUGGGGUGAAAAUGAUAGGGGAGUGUCCUUCACUUUUGGGCCAGAUGUAGUUUCAAAGUUCCUCCAUCGACACGAUAUGGAUCUCAUUUGUAGGGCACAUCAAGUCGUUGAAGACGGUUAUGAAUUCUUUGCGAAACGACAGCUUGUCACAUUAUUUUCGGCUCCAAAUUAUUGUGGAGAAUUCGACAACGCUGGUGGAAUGAUGAGCGUUGAUGAAACUCUCAUGUGCAGUUUUCAGAUUCUGAAACCAUCGGAAAAAAAGGCAAAAUAUCAGUACUCGGGAAUGAACAUGGGUCAGGCUGUUAGGCCAUCAACGCCACAAAGAAAUCCAACAAAGAAAAAAUGACCACUUUCGACUGAAUAUUCGGUGGACUUUGGUGCAUAGCCUCAUAAAUUGGCGUUUUUUUGUUUUUUUUAGCUAUGCGGAGCGCCACGCUACGGAUCUAUACCAUUACACAACAAAAAUAUAAAAAGCAUGGAAUUAUCCUUUUUAUUCUUUGUAUAAAUUUACUCAAUAAGGUGAUUUAUAAGGACAAAUCUCACUUCCUACUUAUAAAUAAUAAUUAUAAUUGUUUAGAUGUGGCUUCCAGCCUGCAUUUCUACACGAAAGAAAUUUUUAAAAUUUCAUUUAUUUAUUGUCUGUUAGUAAAUUAAUUAUAAUUAGUAUUAAUACACGCAUUUCUGCUAAUUCAAUUUAUUCGUUCAUUGAGUAUCGGGAAGCCAUGUUUUAUAUUAAUCAAAUAUUUGCAGAGCAUUCACGUUUUAAAAAUGUUUCAUUGUAUUUUUUUUUUUUUUUUUUUUAAAUUUUUUUUCUAGAAGUAAGAAAGUGAGAGAGAAAGAGAGAGAGAGAUGAAUUUAUUUUUAGAAUAUUGAACUUUUCUUGAAAACUUAAUUUGUUGACUUGAGAUUAAUAUUAAAAUGUAAUAUUAAAAUAUAAUAUUUAAAUAUAAAUAAUAAUAAUAAUAAUAAUGUAAUAUAUAUAAAUAUUCUAUAAUAUAAUAUAUUUUGAAAAAAUAUAGAGAAUGCUCUGUAAAUAAUUGCGUAUUGCCAAGAAUGGUGAUAUUUUUACUCGAACUCAGUAUUUAACGUUAUCGAUCAUAAGCAUUUUGCUUAUCAAAUAGUCGUAGACCUUUCAGUAUAUUUACUCUGUAUUUGUUUUGUUACUACUUGCUUCGUUUUUCGAAAAUAUUUCCCCCAUUUGUAUUCUUUUUUUUAGGAAGAAAAUCUUCUUAGCCUACAGUAUUUAAUUUUUCUCAGUUUUGAGUAUUUUUUUUUUUUGUAUUUUGAAAAUCGUAAGCAAGAUGGUUUCAUUUCUAAUUGUAUGAAAGCUGCCAUACCAGAGAAAUGUAUUGUUACUUAAAUCAAUGUUUUUUUUUUCAUUUUUUGACAGAAGUUCAAAAAAAAAAUUUUUUUCGAUGGUAUUUUUUUUCAAUUAUUUGUCAAAUUAAUUUUUAUAUUUAAGAUAUUGUCUUCCGUUCAGUAAAUAAUCUGAUCAGUUCUACGCACUACUAUAAUACUACCACUAUUAUUAUUAUUAUUAUUAUUAUUAAUGUUCAUUGACAUUUCUGUUAUUGCUAAGCGCUUUUAAUCCUUGCAAUUUUGCUUGGAAACUUUGUCGCUAGCUUAUUGUUAAUUGUUUGUAAGACUAUGAGAUAAAAAAAAAGUAACAUGUUUGUCAGAAAUUAAAAAAUAAUAAAAUACACCGAAAAUUAGUAUUAAAAGUGAACAUAAAUGCAAAAAAAAAGAAAUGAUCAUAUAUGAUCAAAUUGACCUAAGUUACAAUUAAUUUCACUGGAUAGGGAGAUUAAUCAGUAUAUUUAAUAUUGUUACUCUUAGAAUUUAGAUCUCUGUCUACCCUGGCAAAUGAUUGAUUCCAAUCGUUUAUAAUUGAGCUUCGAGGGAUCAUAAUAAUUUUUGACGUUAUUUUUUAGAACAAGAUUAUUAUAAAUAAUUAUAUAAAUAUAUAUAUAUAUUAUUUCGUUGGAUUUGAUGAAACACUAUUAUUGAUUUUAAAAAGUCGACGUCCAAAGUCUGACAAAAUGUGCACAGGGUGGCUUUAAAAAACAAAUAAUUUAUUUCUUUUUUUUUUUUUUUUAUUUUCUAACUUAUUUCUUUAUUAUUCACGAAAGUCUAUACAAAUAUUUUGUUUUGUUAAAAGAAUAUUUUUCAAACUCUAGUUAUUUAUGUAAUUUUACUUAAAAUUAAUCUUUAAUGUAAUUUUACAUUAUUUUUAGAAUUAAAAAAAAAUAACUGAAUGAAUAGAAUUAAUUUUACUUGUUUACGAAUUGUAAUAAUGACCAAAGAUAGAAAUCAGAGAUUAGCGCCCAUUCCGUGUAAAUUUUGCAGCUUUGGCAAGGCAGGGCAAAGGAGGAAUUCUUCUGUGAUUCUCUACUUCGUGAAUAAAAAAAAAAAAAUAAUAAUAAUAAAUGAAUAAGGGCAAAGAGAUGUAUACACGAAUUACACGUGAGCAAUAAUUUGUAAAGGGCACGUCUGCUGCGGAUCGAAAAAAAAAAAAUUUGCCGUAUAAAAAGAACGUUUUAAAUUUAAGUAUUCUAAUUAAAGAAUUAUAGUGUGUGCGGCACACUCAUGUAAUCGCAGUAGACGCACCGAUUUGACAAAACUUUAAACUGUACAUCAUACAAAUAAUAAACAUGUAUAUUGUUGUAUCA